rnacentral:rRNA from 2 species
GAUUGGUGCUUGCAUCAUGAUUUACAUUUGAGUGAGUGGCGAACUGGUGAGUAACACGUGGGAAACCUGCCCAGAAGCGGGGGAUAACACCUGGAAACAGAUGCUAAUACCGCAUAACAACUUGGACCGCAUGGUCCGAGUUUGAAAGAUGGCUUCGGCUAUCACUUUUGGAUGGUCCCGCGGCGUAUUAGCCUAAGAUGGGUGGGGUAAACGGCCUCACCCAAUGGCAAUGAUACGUAGCCGACCUGAGAAGGGUAAUCGGCCACCAUUGGGACUGAGACACGGCCCAAACUCCUACGGGAGGCAGCAGUAAGGGAAUCUUCCACCAAUGGAACGAAAGUCUGAUGGAGCAACGCCGCGUGAGUGAAGAAGGGUUUCGGCUCGUAAAACUCUGUUGUUAAAGAAGAACAUAUCUGAGAGUAACUGUUCAGGUAUUGACGGUAUUUAACCAGAAAGCCACGGCUAACUACGUGCCAGCAGCCGCGGUAAUACGUAGGUGGCAAGCGUUGUCCGGAUUUAUUGGGCGUAAAGCGAGCGCAGGCGGUUUUUUAAGUCUGAUGUGAAAGCCUUCGGCUCAACCGAAGAAGUGCAUCGGAAACUGGGAAACUUGAGUGCAGAAGAGGACAGUGGAACUCCAUGUGUAGCGGUGAAAUGCGUAGAUAUAUGGAAGAACACCAGUGGCGAAGGCGGCUGUCUGGUCUGUAACUGACGCUGAGGCUCGAAAGUAUGGGUAGCAAACAGGAUUAGAUACCCUGGUAGUCCAUACCGUAAACGAUGAAUGCUAAGUGUUGGAGGGUUUCCGCCCUUCAGUGCUGCAGCUAACGCAUUAAGCAUUCCGCCUGGGGAGUACGGCCGCAAGGCUGAAACUCAAAGGAAUUGACGGGGGCCCGCACAAGCGGUGGAGCAUGUGGUUUAAUUCGAAGCUACGCGAAGAACCUUACCAGGUCUUGACAUACUAUGCAAAUCUAAGAGAUUAGACGUUCCCUUCGGGGACAUGSAUACAGGUGGUGCAUGSUUGUCGUCAGCUCGUGUCGUGAGAUGUUGGGUUAAGUCCCGCAACGAGCGCAACCCUUAUUAUCAGYUGCCAGCAUUAAGUUGGGCACUCUGGUGAGACUGCCGGUGACAAACCGGAGGAAGGUGGGGAUGGACGUCAAAUCAUCAUGCCCSUUAUGACCUGGGCUACACAACGGUGCUUACAAUGGGAGUGGUACAAACGAGAUUUGGCGAACUCGCGAGAGUAAGCUAAUCUCUUAAAGCCAUUCUCAGUUCGGAUUGUAGGCUGCAACUCGCCUACAUGAAGUCGGAAUCGCUAGUAAUCGCGGAUCAGCAUGCCGCGGUGAAUACGUUCCCGGGCCUUGUACACACCGCCCGUCACACCAUGAGAGUUUGUAACACCCAAAGUCGGUGGGGUAACCUUU